GUGGGGAGGCCGGAUCCUGGGCUGUGUCCCGUCGCCCUGCGCCGUUGGAUUUGCGCUCCCGGCCGCGCAGCCCCCU
rnacentral:pre_miRNA from 1 species